AGGACGACGCUGGCGGCGUGCUUAACACAUGCAAGUUGAACGGGAUCCGCCUUAUGAAGUUCUCGGAUGGAAUAAGGCGGUGAGAGUAGCGGACGGGCGAGUAACGCGUGAGUAACCUGCCCUUUGCAGGGGGAUAACAUCGGGAAACCGGUGCUAAUACCGCAUAAGACCACAGUGCCGCAUGACACAGUGGUCAAAGCUGAGGCGGCAAAGGAUGGGCUCGCGUCCAAUUAGCUGGUUGGUGAGGUAACGGCCCACCAAGGCGACGAUUGGUAGCCGAACUGAGAGGUUGAUCGGCCGCAUUGGGACUGAGACACGGCCCAGACUCCUACGGGAGGCAGCAGUGGGGAAUAUUGCGCAAUGGAGGAAACUCUGACGCAGCAACGCCGCGUGAAGGAAGAAGGCCUUCGGGUUGUAAACUUCUUUGAUCGGGGACGAAGAUGACGGUACCCGAGGAACAAGCCACGGCUAACUACGUG
rnacentral:rRNA from 1 species